UACGGAGGGUGCAAGCGUUGUCCGGAUUUAUUGGGUUUAAAGGGUGCGUAGGCGGCCUAGUAAGUCGGCGGUGAAAGCCCGGGGCUCAACCCCGGAACUGCCAUCGAUACUGUUAGGCUUGAGUACAGGCGAGGUUGGCGGAAUGGGCGGUGUAGCGGUGAAAUGCAUAGAUACCGUCCAGAACCCCGAUUGCGAAGGCAGCUGACUAGGCUGUAACUGACGCUGAGGCACGAAAGCGUGGGGAGCAAACAGG
rnacentral:rRNA from 1 species